rnacentral:rRNA from 1 species
UACGUAGGUGGCAAGCGUUGUCCGGAUUUAUUGGGCGUAAAGCGCGCGCAGGCGGUGCGGUAAGUCUCUGGUGAAAGCGCUCGGCUUAACUGGGCGAGGGCCGGGGAGACUGCCACGCUGGAGGGGAGCAGAGGCGAGUGGAAUUCCGGGUGUAGUGGUGAAAUGCGUAGAGAUCCGGAGGAACACCAGUGGCGAAGGCGGCUUCCUGGACCAAUACUGACGAUCAGGUGCGAAAGCGUGGGGAGCAAACAGG